UUUGUGUGUCACAGCAGCCUAAGGACAGUUCAAUUUAACAAUAACUCUCUAUGACAUCACCCACAUGAAGUCAUCAUUCACAGUUAAUUUAGUUAAUUUUAUGGUAAAAGCGCAGAGCAGAAAUCAAUAACACUUGAGCUGAGGCGUCCAGAUUACCUGAAUUCACCCAAUACCUUUAUAGACCCCGACUGGGACUCGAACUAGGGGCGCAUGCUCAGUCGCUGUUUACAGGACGCCUUUUCUACAAACUGAGCUACACAGCGUCAAGAACCCGGAAGUCCCUCUGGUUGAAGAUGCGUCAAAUAAGUCCCACCCACAGAUUUUCUGACGAAUGCAGGUGGUGCGCGCCAAAAGGGGCGGUCUCGCUCUGUUUCCCGCGUAAAGUUAGCGCAUUUCCCUCUAAAACAAUAGAGGUCUGUAUUAAUGGCUAAUGGAUCUUCACUCAGAUCAGAGCAGCUCUUCUGUGAGGACACGAAUAAGGUGAACAGUGGGACUUGUCUUCAACUUCAGGUGGAGCAGCUCUGACCUGUAUGUUGAUCAGCACCGGAGAGGAGAGACACCUGGUCCAACAAGGUGACGGACGAGUCGCCGCAGGACGUGAAGCAGGAAAACUGAGGAUCCGUCUCCUGGUGAAACUCCUUCAGGUCCUGCAGUUUGUUGACUCUGGUUUCACCUGUUGACAGUGAGCACUGUUGUCUUUGCUGGUUAUUUACAUAAUAAAACCUUUUUUUAAAAUUUCACUCUAUUGUGUUUUUUAUAGAUUUUUAAAGCACGUGUUGAGUCUUUUGAUGGAGACCAACGUCUCCUCUCAGUGGCAUUUUCAAAGCUUUAACUAUAUUUGAUGUAUACACUUUCUUUCUGUAAUGGAGAGCAGGGCUUCCAUUACCUUCAUUAUCUAUUCCUAUUCUGGGAAUGACUGAUUUAGAAACCAUGUGUUGUUUAAUGUCUGAGUAAGUUAACCUCUCUCCAUCUCUUAUCACAUGAAUGAAGCUAACAGCAGCUCAGUGAGAGGUUUAUAAUGUUUUACCAGCAGCUGAUUUGAAAUAUACCUUAAGUGCUGUCUGUGAUAUCACCAAGCAGACGGAUAAAUGGUCAUUUUGAGCAGCUACAGUAGUUUAUAUGAUCAUUAUGUAGCCUCAUUGUUGCCUGCACUUUAAAAUCAUAUCACUGGUCUGUAAAGCACCAAAUGUUCUCAGGACUGAACACAUUUGGUUUACUUGUACGGGGAU